GGCGGCAGGGGGGCAAAUUACCCAAUCCCGACACGGGGAGGUAGUGACAAUAAAUAACAAUACGGGGUUCUUUAGGAUCUCGUAAUUGGAAUGAGUACAAUUUAAAUCUCUUAACGAGGAACAAUUGGAGGGAAGUCUGGUGCCAGCAGCCGCGGUAAUUCCAGCUCCAAUAGCGUAUAUUAAAGUUGUUGCAGUUAAAAAGCUCGUAGUUGAAUUUCGGGGUUAGUAGGUUGGUCAUGCCUCUGGUAUGUACUGGUCUCACUGAUUCCUCCUUCCUGAUGAGCCGUAAUGCCAUUAAUUUGGUGUUGCGGGNAAUUUGGACUGUUACUUUGAAA
rnacentral:rRNA from 1 species